rnacentral:rRNA from 1 species
UACGUAGGGGGCUAGCGUUGUCCGGAAUUAUUGGGCGUAAAGAGCUCGUAGGUGGCUUGUCACGUCGGGUGUGAAAGCUUGGGGCUUAACUCCAGGUCUGCAUUCGAUACGGGCUGGCUAGAGGUAGGUAGGGGAGAACGGAAUUCCUGGUGUAGCGGUGAAAUGCGCAGAUAUCAGGAGGAACACCGGUGGCGAAGGCGGUUCUCUGGGCCUUACCUGACGCUGAGGAGCGAAAGCGUGGGGAGCGAACAGG